AUCACACAAAGUAUUGCAAUACAGUUCGGUGUACAUGGUUAUGACUUUGAACGGCGAAAGAAGGUGCUUAAUUUUAAAAUGUGGCAGAAGGACAGUUUCCCUUACCAUAUUAUACUUAUGGUGGACAAUAUGUGGAAGUGCAGGAGCUCAAAGCACAACUUCUACACAAAACACAACACCACUUCUUUCAAACACAACUGUG